rnacentral:rRNA from 1 species
AUUGAACGCUGGCGGCAGGCCUAACACAUGCAAGUCGAGCGAGCGGCGGACGGGUGAGUAAUGUCUGGGAAACUGCCUGAUGCAGGGGGAUAACUGCUGGAAACGGUAGCUAAUACCGCAUACCAUCAGAUGUGGCCAGAUGGGAUUAGCUAGUAGGUCGGGUAACGGCUCACCUAGGCGACGAUCCCUAGCCGGUCUGAGAGGAUGACCAGCCACACUGGGACUGAGACACGGCCCAGACUCCUACGGGAGGCAGCAGUAGGGAAUAUUGGCCAAUGGGCGAAAGCCUGAUGCAGCCAUGCCGCGUGUGUGAAGAAGGCUUUCGGGUUGUAAAGCACUUUCAUCAGGGAGGCGUUACCCAAAGAAGAAGCACCGGCUAACUCCGUGCCAGCAGCCGCGGUAAUUC